AUGUCCGGGGACAGCAGAGGCCGCCGGUCCGAGGGCCGAGGCCGUGGCCGGGACCGCGACCGCGAUGCGCACGGGGACCGCACCCGCUCUCGCUCGCGGUCGCCGCUGUCGCCGGGAGCCCGCCGCGGCGCCGCGCCCGAGCGUAGGGAGGCCCUGGAGCGCCCGAGCCUGGACGAGGAGGAGCCGUCGGACUCGGGGGACGAGGGCUUGGACCCGGCGAGCCUGGAGGCGGAGACCGACCACGGCCUGUGCCGCCAGAUCCGCCACCAGUACCGGGCGCUCAUCAACUCCGUCCAACAAAACCGGGAGGAUAUACUGAAUGCUGGUGACAAAUUAACAGAGGUCCUUGAAGAGGCCGACACUCUGUUUAAUGGAGUGUCCCGAGCAAGAGAAGCAGCCCUAGAUGCCCAGUUUCUUGUUUUGGCUUCUGAUUUGGGGAAAGAGAAAGCAAAGCAGCUGCGCUCUGAUCUGAACUCGUUUGAUAUGUUAAGAUACGUCGAGACUCUACUGACACAUAUGGGUGUAAAUCCGCUAGAAGCUGAAGAACUCAUCCGUGAUGAAGAUAGUUCUGAUUUUGAAUUGAUAGUCUAUGACUCCUGGAAAAUAUCAGGCAAAACAGCAGAAAACACCUUUAAUAAAACCCAUACAUUCCACUUUCUGUUGGGUUCAAUACAAGGAGAGCUCCCUGUGCCAAAGCCACGAGUCGAUCGUCCAAAAAAAGUUCGUACGACAGAAGAGCAGAGGGCAAUGCCUGACCAGUUAAAAAGAAUGGAAGAAUCUCAUCAAGAAGCAACAGAAAAAGAAGUAGAAAGAAUCUUGGGAUUGUUGCAAACCUAUUUUCAAGAAGAUCCUGAUACGCCCAUGUCCUUCUUUGACUUUGUGAUUGAUCCACAUUCUUUUCCCCGUACAGUAGAAAACAUCUUUCACGUUUCCUUCAUUAUAAGGGAUGGCUUUGCAAGAAUAAGACUUGACGAAGAUCGACUGCCAGUAAUAGAGCCUGUUAAUAUUAACGAAGAAAACGAGGGAGUUGACCAUAACACCCAAAUUAGGCAUCAAGGAAUUAUAGCUCUGACUUACCGGGACUGGGAGGUAAAGCUGUGCAUGCCGCCCCGGCGUCCUUCUUACCCGUCCUGCUUCGCGUUGAAGCCGGCGCCUAAACAUUCUGUGUUCUCUGCCAGGAGAUUGUGAAGACCUUUGAGAUCUCAGAGGCUGUGAUUGCCUCAAGUCAGAGCCAGCAGAGGCUGAGCACUUGAUGCAACCCAAGGACUCAAAUGGAUAGUGAAAUGCAAACAGAAAAGCAGCAUGUAUUGUACAUAUUGUAUGAUUACACAUUUUUAAGGACAGAUUGUUUUUAGUAAAAUGUAGCUUUUGAUAGUUAAUUUGUCAUGGUUGUCUUUGAUUAAAGGAAAUUCACUGCCAUGUUCACAGUAUAAUUGUAGUUACUCUUUAUUUUCUGAUCAUGGAGUGGUGGGUGGCAGGGGGGACUUCUCCUUUCUCCAAUCGUGUCCCAUUGAAAGUUAUACUUAGGUUGUUAAUGGCCUAAUGGAUAAGGGCAUAAUGGAUCGUUAUGGUUCUUUUUACAUCUCUUUAGCUGUAAAGUUAGGUGAAAAAUGAUGAGAUAUCAGCAAUUUCAUAUGAUUCUGCCGAUGGUUUACACACCAUCUGCCUUCAACCAUGCGCAUCUCUCUCCCGUCUUAAAGAUUAUCGUGACCCUUCCUGAAGCUUCUGUUCCAUCUCCUCUAAAUUGUUGGCUAGGUAGCUAGCUGGAACACCUGGGGAUACAGUGCCUGUGGUUUAACUUUUUUUUUUUUUUGCCAGUUUGAUCCAUUUAGAGACGAAAUUAGGGGGUACAGGAUGUAACUGUACUAACAACUAUGAAAGUAUGCUAGUAUGAAAAAGGCAUGCAAUAAUCAUGAAAAUAACUUAAACUUUAUUUUUUUCUAGUUGACUUCUCAAAAACGGUGGCAUGCUCAAGAGCUCCCUUCGGAGUGGCUUUUCAAUUUUAUCCUCUUUUUUUGCCUUUUCCAUCAUAAUAGUCACUUCUAUGAGGGCUUUCUCGUAAGGCUGGACAAUUGGAUAGGCUGUGACCCAUUCAAACUCUUUCAUCUCUUUCUCCACUAGAGACUUUUGGCAAGGAGGGACUCGGUUAGAGAGUUUCUGAGCAUCCUUUUUAUCAUUCCUCUGCUCUGUGAGCUCUCGCCCUCGAAUCAUUCGCUCUCGAUGUCCCUUUAUCUGUUUUUUCGCCUGUAACACCUUGUGCUUUUCAGUUUUAGCUUUGGGUGUUUUCUGGAUGUUUUCAUUCUUUUCAACCUUCUCCAGUGAUAAUAUUUUGGGGGAAAGUAUUUCAGUGGGAAUUCUUUGUGGGAGUAGGCGGUCUCUGUGGUCCCUGAGGCCUCUGGCGCGCUCGGCUCGGUAAAUGUGCUUCUCUGUCUGAUGGAGCUCCAUUUCAGGCACUAGAUAGUCCCAUUUUUUAACAUCUUCUGUCUUUUGACUUUGUGGUCUCUUUUCUUCUUCCUUUAUUUUGAUUUCCCAUUGGGGAACCAUAUUGUAUUUCCAUUCUUCCAUCAUCAUUUCUUGAUACCGUUGAUAGUAGUAUGCCUCUGCUUUGGCAAACCGCAAGUCAAAAGACAUGGCCUUAAGCUUAUCAAGUGUUUUGUUUUCCUGUUGAAACUUUUGGGCUAACAGUUUCCUUACUUCUGAAGACUGGACACCACCUAAACUCUUGUCGAAGGCAAAUAUUAGAGUUUUUUAAGCUGGAUGUCCCUUAUCGUAGUUCC